UACGUAGGGUGCAAGCGUUAAUCGGAAUUACUGGGCGUAAAGUGUGCGCAAGCGGCCGCGCAAGUCGAGUGUGAAAUCCCCGAGCUUAACUUGGGAAUUGCGCUCGAAACUACGUGGCUGGAGUGUGGCAGAGGAAGGUGGAAUUCCACGUGUAGCGGUGAAAUGCGUAGAUAUGUGGAGGAACACCGAUGGCGAAGGCAGCCUUCUGGGCCAACACUGACGCUCAUGCACGAAAGCGUGGGGAGCAAACAGG
rnacentral:rRNA from 1 species